rnacentral:rRNA from 1 species
UACAGAGGUGGCAAACGUUGUCCGGAUUUAUUGGGUGUAAAGGGCAUGUAGGUGGUCUUGUAAGUCAAAGGUGAAAUGGCCCGGCUCAACCAGGUCAUUGCCUUUGAAACUGCCGGACUCGAGUACGGAAGAGGAGAGCGGAAUUCCCAGUGUAGCGGUGAAAUGCGUAGAUAUUGGGAGGAACACCGGUGGCGAAGGCGGCUCUCUGGUCCGAAACUGACACUGAGAUGCGAAAGCCAGGGGAGCAAACGGGAUUAGAUACCCCCGUAGUCC